ACUUCACCAUCGGUUACGACUUCCUCCCCUUGGGCCUAUGUUUGUUUUAUUUAUUCACAGUUUAUCGGGUGGGGAGAGUGACGGGCGGUGUGUGCGCGCUUCACGGGCCAGUUUCAGCAAAACACUCUAUUUUUUGCUUACUGCUAAAUCCUCCUUCUAAUACUCUUUUCAUAAUAUUGUUCGUGUGCCUUAAAAAGGAAUGUAGCCAUUUCUUCCCCUCUCAUAUGCUACACCUCGACCUGACGUUUUUAGUAUUACUGUUUUUGCUUACUAUUAACCCUUCACAGGGUAAGCUGACGACGGCGGUAUAUAGGCGGGAGAGACUAGAGAGGGUGUAGGUUUAACGGGGGGUAUCGGUUCUAGAACAGGCUCCUCUAGGUGGGUCUAAAGCACCGCCAAGUCCUUUGGGUUUUAGGCUAAUGCUCGUAGUUCCCAGGCGGAUGAUAAUGUAGGGUUCAUCAAAGUUUAUGGCUACGCAUAGUGGGGUAUCUAAUCCCAGUUUGUUUCGUGGCUUUCGUGGGGUCAUCUUAUUAAAGCUACUUUCGUUAACGAGCUUCUUAUCUCCGAGUGCGUAUAACAGCUUUGGGGAUAUUUGACUUUAGUCUCUUUCUAGUCUAACCACCUCUUUACGCCGAUGAAUAUCAGCUCGAGCCUCUCGUAUAACCGCGGUGG
rnacentral:rRNA from 1 species